rnacentral:rRNA from 1 species
GGGGAAUAUUGGACAAUGGGCGCAAGCCUGAUCCAGCCAUGCCGCGUGGGUAAAGAAGGCCUUCGGGUUGUAAAGCCCUUUUGUUGGGAAAGAAAAGCAGCCGGCCAAUACCCGGUUGUUCUGACGGUACCCAAAGAAUAAGCACCGGCUAACUUCGUGCCAGCAGCCGCGGUAAUACGAAGGGUGCAAGCGUUACUCGGAAUUACUGGGCGUAAAGCGUGCGUAGGUGGUGGUUUAAGCGAGAUGUGAAAGCCCCGGGCUCAACCUGGGAUGGUCAUUUCGAACUGGCAAGCUAGAGUCUCGUAGAGGGGGGUAGAAUUCCAGGUGUAGCGGUGAAAUGCGUAGAGAUCUGGAGGAAUACCGGUGGCGAAGGCGGCCCCCUGGACGAAGACUGACGCUCAGGCACGAAAGCGUGGGGAGCAAACA